AUAUACCAUAGAAGUGUGAUCCCAAUACCUUAUGCAAACCCGAUGGAGAUUUCACUUUACUUAUUGGUGACUGGUACAAAACGCCAUAAGAUAUUGCAGCAAUCUUUGGACUCAGGAAAGCCUCUUCCAUUUCCUGAUGGAGUCCUUAUAAAUGGCCAGACUCGAACUACAUUUAGUGGCGAACAAGG